AGGGUGUAAACGCUGCAGACUUGGUGUUGGAGGCCCUUUGGGGGGCGAUUCAGUGCCGGAGAGAAGUUGUUAAGUCUGCUACUUGGGGAGUACGUCCGCAAGGAUGAAACUUAAAGGAAUUGGCGGGGGAGGCACCGCAACGGGAGGAGCGUGCGGUUUAAUUGGAUUCAACACCGUAAACUCACCAGGGAAGACUGUUACAUGAAGGCCGAGAUGAAGACUCUGCUAGAUUUUCAGAGAGGUGGUGCAUGGCCGUCAGUGACU
rnacentral:rRNA from 1 species